rnacentral:rRNA from 1 species
UACGGAGGGUGCGAGCGUUGUCCGGAAUCACUGGGCGUAAAGGGCGCGUAGGCGGCCUGGCAAGUCAAUGGUGAAAGCUUGUGGCUCAACUGCGAGUCGGCCACUGAUACUGCUAGGCUAGAGCACUGUAGAGGCAGAUGGAAUUCCGGGUGUAGCGGUGGAAUGCGUAGAGAUCCGGAAGAACACCGGUGGCGAAGGCGGUCUGCUGGGCAGUUGCUGACGCUGAGGCGCGACAGCGUGGGGAGCAAACAGG